CCACUCCUUGUCUACCCCAAGCCUGCAUUCCUAAGUUCUCCUCUUUUUCCGCCGGGUAAGUCUUGUUGAGUACUCCCAUACUCAGGGUUUUAUAACCCCUGUUGCAGGUGCUGACUUAGGCUGCAAAUGGAGGUCGUGUCGGUGGGCGCGACAUGAUUUAUCCACAUCUUCUACCUUAGAAGCUUCACCUAAGUUGCUUCCGCUACUCUACACAUCUUUUGGAAAUUUAGUUGUUUAUAUUCCAUCAUAUGUUGUAAGUUGAGUUAUAAAUCUUCCGCACUCCGAUGUAAGUUCUUUCGUAACAAAUGUUGUAAUGUUGUGGUGACUCCAUGUUGAUCCUGUAUGAGUAAAAAAAAUGUGGAUGAUUUGGGGUCCUCUGAGGGCACCCGACAGACUAUCCGAGUUAUAUGACUCUCAUGUGCAGUAGUUAGAGGUCUUAAGGACAAUGACAGGUGCAUGUGGGCCAUAUAAUUAGGGUGGUUCUGCCACACAACUUCCCCAAGCUUACCUCUUGCUCGUCCCUAAGCAAGGAUGGACUCAAGAGUUUCUGUAGUGGUUUCAUGCCUUAAAGGUACACAUGCGUUCAAACAAGAUCUCAUCUCUGGGUUAGGGUAAACUGUUAAGAUUUAAACUUACUCAUAUUACCUUCCACCAUGGGGCUUGUAACCGUCACUUGUAUCUUGAGUACUUAAAUGAUAGAACGGUCAAGUCAAGCGCCAAGUCUCUUGUUCUUGAUCAACUAUAGCUCUAGAGUUUUUUUGCAGAUUUUCAAAUAAAACACAGUGAUUCCUUUUAUGACUCUCUCUAGUCUCUCUUUUGUGGUAUUUCUAGAUCCUUACCAAGGCAGUAAUGAUAUGUGCCUUCUCUCAAAGUAUGUGGUAUUUUUGGUAUGAGGCAUAGUGACAUUGCCUUUUCUCUCACCCUACUCUAUUAAGGUUUUGAUAUCUGGAGCUCAUAGGUGGGAGACAGCUAAUACAUACUUACAAGACAUUUAUUGCAUAGUCAAACCAUGGAUCCAGAAGAACAACAAAUCAAGAUGUGCAUGUGUGGCGAAUGAAUGGUGUAUGGUGAUGAUGGUGAUAAUGGUGAAAACAAUGGUGAAAGUCUAUUUCUACUUUUGCUCCCUUGAGGGGAUACAUACCUUUCUUGCACUUUGAAGCUUUUUGAGGGGAAUGAGAUGCUCUAUAUUUUCUUUUUAUUUUCUCUCAGGUGGGUAACUUGUACCCCUAAUUCUACUGUCGGACACUUGUCCAUUUUUACCUCCCGUCUCACUUUUUCUUUUUUUCGAGGUUUCGGGCACUUGCCUCUUUUUAUUUCCUCGUAUUCAUAUUUUUUUUCAGAGCACUCAUCCUCCUAGAAUAAUAUAGCAAGUGGUAGUAACCAAGAUAACUCGAGCAUUUAUUUCGCAGGGAAUAACAGGGAUAGGAAAAGGUUUUUGGCUAUUCUCUCCCGGAUAGGAGUAGAAUAAUUUUAGGUGAAUCUGGUGAUGGAAUUGAUGCGUACUUCCGGAGUAGAAGCAGCAUGUAUGAGUGAACGUGCAAGUGAAUCUUGAUUUUAACUAUAUGACAAGCUCCUAAGGGUCUACACAGCUUGACCACACUCAAUGCUCAUAUAUAGUAAAAAAAAUUAAAUAUAUAGUUCAUAGUCUAGCAAGCAUGUACGUAUGGCCGUGGUAGGAAAUCAAACUCUCAUCAUACAGGAACUGAUCAUGGAAUAUUUUAAAGAUUUUCAAAGAUAAAAUUCUCUAGAAUUCUAGCACCUCUAGGAACAGAUAAACAGCAGCUCAAGCUUCCCAUAUCGUAUCCGUUAACGCCUUAGACUUUAAAUCAAGUACUCUUUCCACAAGUUCAGGUUUAGAGCAAAUCUUAAUUCAUAAUAGUCAUGCCUAAACUUGAGAGAGAUUUCAAUUUUGAGAACUAGUCAUGGCAGAGCAACUAUUCAUCAUUUCCAUAUCAGAGCUUAUCAUGAGGGUUCAUAGUAAACUUUAUUUAUUCAUUUAAUUAUCAAACUAAGCAAAGAUAUAUAUAUAUAUAAGCGCAAAAUCUUUAUUUGGGUUUUUAUGAUUAUGCAUCUUUUUAUUAUUUGAGUAAAGUAUAAAUGGGAGUAGAAACACUUAGCUGGAUAAAUUGGGGUGCUCUCCCCCAAGCUAGAUUUUGACGUAAUUUCUUCUGAUAUAGCUAGCAGGUGGCGGAGGUGUAUUUGAAUAUUGGCAGCACCCUAACAGCGAUUAGGAUGUCGUCCGUCUGCUAGUCUUUUUUGAUACUUGAAUUCUGUGGAGCUCAAAUAGACAACAAAGCUUUGUGGAACUUGGUUAGCCGUUAUCAUGUUGAGCUUCCUCUAAUAAACAUUACUCUCUUUGGUAGGAUCAUAAUUUUUUUUUUAUAUUUUCAUUUUUAUAGGACAGGAAUAUAUUUAUUUUAUUUUUAUGCCACCACAGUGAAUGUACUUAUGGGUUUUAUGCCAUGAGCAUACUCACAUGGGGCUUACUAUUUUUAACAUUUUUAUUUUCUUUUCAAGAUAGCAUGAUUAACUAACAAGUCAUUUAAGGAAAGUAAAUAAUUUAAGGGAAAAAGGGAAUGGAGAAAGGAGAAAGGAUAAAUACGGAUAACUACUGAUUUUACCUUUCGGCGAGGGUUCAAUGUUUUAAGUCUUCUGAACAUGACUUCUCACCGUGUUCAUUCUUUAGGUGCGUCAUUUGAUUAGGUGUGGACCUUGACGUCUGCACGUCUUGGUACGGUGUCACCCAUAUUCUUCAUUUGCCCAGCAGUUCGAAGUGUGGCGUUGGUAGCAUCCUGCUCAGUGUGUUUGUGCUCGUAGAUCCAGGUUCUUCAUUUGGUGGAGUCUGGGAGUUGUAAAACUCCUCCAUGUUUUGCUCGAAGUGUACCUACUGAUAGAGACAAGGCAGAGAUCAAGUGCAUGGGCCCUGUUGGUGGAAAACACCAACAGAACCAAAAGUGUAUUUGUUCUUCUAUAACCUUAAGCAUAGUGAGCAAGGCAAAGUUGAUAAGAUCAUGAGUGUAGCAUUUAAAACAUUUGUCAGAUCAGAUGGCUCAACCUAAUGGAAAGAUAAUCUAUCUAUACUUAUGUUUUUUAUAUAUCUUCCAAAGAUUGAGUGUGCAACAUUUUAGCUCAUAUGAUUAGGAGUGUGGGAUCACAAAGGUUGAAGGACUAAACAUGUUGAAUCGAUUGGGUUGGUUAAUCUAGAUUUGUAAAUCAUACAUGUUUGUCUCUUUUAUUCAUGUGAACGCCAGAACCAAGGAGAAGCUUAUAAAAGUGAUAGUCAAGUACCUUAAGAUGUCACAUUACUUGAUGAGUGAUGGUACAGUAUCACCUUGUGGAAGCUUUCCUUUCUUAGCGGUUGUGCAUCGUGUUUGUGGCACCCUCCAUGGAUCAUCUCUUAUGAGCUAUGUUUUCCUUAUGUAAAUUGUUAAACUUCAUGUGUCUGUCUAAAAUGUGAGUUUAUCUCAGGACUUCCCAGGUCGAUAUUGAAAGUUUUCCUACCGGGGUUAGUCCAACAAAAUAUCCCAUAUCUACUAUAGCAUACUAUCAGUUCAAAAAUCAACCUAGACACCAUGUCUAAUUUGAUUUAGGAGGCCAUUUUAACCAAAGCACCAUGCUUAAUUGAAAAUCCCUUGGAAGUAAGAUCAUUAUUCCUAAACUAAGCACCAUGCUUAUUUAAGAGAUAAAUGAAACUACUCCAAACCUAGACAUAUACUAAAGCAAAUAAAGGUAGCAUGAGAGCAUUUAUAGAGAUCUACUAAAGUGGAGAUGAAGUAGUGUGAUUAGUAUUUAAAAAAUUGAGCAUGUCUCAAAGGUUGGGACAACCAACAUAGCAACACGACAAAGGAUGUUUUUAUGUAAAGUACUCCCCCAAGCUUGAAUUUUGCAAAAUUCAAGUUUGGAUGAAUUUAAUUCAAUGUUGUAUGAUGAUUGGUUGGACAUACCUUGUGCUUGUCAUUCAUCCGAUCUUCUUGCUCCAAUCCUGGAAAGGUUAGUGUUGAUAUUUGGGAACGCAAUAAGGAAUUGAUCCGCAAGCGCACAGAUAUCGGUGAGCACUUCACCCGGGAUGUUAUCCAGAGUAUCGUAUUUAUAUUUUUACCACUAGGAGAAAGAGUGCAUGUAACUAACCCAGUCUAUUACUACUAACCUUUAGGCUACAAAGAAUGUUUUUCGAUAUGAGUGAUAUAUAGAGAAGACUGCAACUGUAGUCUCGUUCUAACCUUGGUAAGGAUAAUCUACUAUUCUAUUGGGGAGGCUCACGGAAUCUAGACACCACAGAGGAUGUUCAACCCGCACCUAUAAACCAUAUCCGUCCUGCUAACGAGAUAUGGUCUGCAAAGGUAACUCGGAAAUGUCACGUUCCUCGCUACUACCAUGGUCCAGCUAGUCAGGGAAUAUCUAUGAGUAUCCUAGCCCAAACACCACGUCUACGCUAGAGAUGAUUACUCUAAACUCUACGUGAAGAGAUUAAAGUAAACUCAUAAACCAAAGAACAAUAAAACAAGAACUUACUAGUAUUUAGAAGUCGAAUUACUGAAGAAUCCUAGGAGCAAGCUUCGGGUUAGGAGAACUUGAUCCCGUAGGUACAACCUCAGAGUAGACACUGAUAGGCCGGGAUUUCUCCGAUCUACACCUCCACUCUAUCUCUCUGAAUCUAGUAGAACUUAGAAGAACUAAUUCUACUCACAUUGGAUGCUAAGCCCUAAGUCUAUUUAGAGGAGAGGUUAUCCUUCGAGGGCUCCUCUCAACUCUAUGAUGAAAUUAUGUCUCCUCGAGGGGCCAGGGGGUUUGCUUAUAUAGUCGCCUCAGGUGAACGUGGGCCGUCGGAUCAAACCGACAUUGAUUGAACGGUUAUCCUUAAUCCAUUAGGUCGGUGGAGCGUAAUCCGCGAAGUUGGAUGGGAUUGGCUGGAACUCCAGGGCGGGCGCCCUAGGGGGGAGGCGGGCGCCCUGCCCCCGGGCCUGAUCGCCUUCCCGUUCGUUCCCGUGGCUUCUGGAGUCUUCUAGAUGGUAGAAAAUUGCGCAGUGCAUUAAUAUCUCUAUGUAAUCCCGACAUAUGGGCCUUUCUUCCUUAUUUCCUGAUAAACACCUGUAGAAAUAGAUAAACAACAAAACUCGUGGAAUUCUGUCAGAUCAAACCCUAAUUCUAGGUGUUGUUUGUAUAUUGGUCCUUUCUCUUGUUUAUUUGAUAAUUGAAAUUGAUACUUAAGAACCGUCAACAAAUACACCCAUACUUAGGCUUUUACUCGUCCUCGAGAAAAUUAUGGUUAAGAAAAAUAUCUGGGGUUAAAACAUUGUGAAAGGUCCUAAUAUGGCUAGAGGGGGGUGAAUAGCCUAUUUAAAAAUUCUACAAACUCACUAGAGCAAGAGGUUAGUAAGUAACAAAGCGAAGCUUUUUGCUCUAGUUCUAAUGGGGUGUUUGCAAGCCACCUAUCGAGCAAUUCUAGUUGAUAUAAUCACUAGGCACACAAGAGCUAUGUCACUACUUACACUAGAAAGCUACCUAAAGUUUCUAUACAAGUAAUUAAGCUACUCUAGUUUGCGGAAAUGUAAAAGAGAUGGUUUGAACUUUAUACCGCCGCGUAGAGGGGAUAAACCAAUCAAUAAUAUGAAGUCCAAUCACCGGGAGAAAUCCAAUGAACAAUCACAAUGGAGACACACAAUUUUUCUCAUGAGGUUCACGUGCUUGCCGGCACGCUACGUCCCCGUUGUGUCGACCAACACAUGGUGGUUCGGUGGCUAAGAGGUGUAGCACGAACCUCCUCCUCACUAGGACACCACAAGAACCUACCCACAAGUGAGGUAGCUCAAUGACACGAGCACUUUACUAGAGUUACCUUUCGGCUCUCCGCCGGGGAAGGUACAAGACCCCUCACAAUCACCGGGAGAUGGCCAUGAACAAUCACCAACUCGUGCCAAUCCUCCUCCGCUGCCCCAAGCCGUCUAGGUGGCGGCAACCAUCAAGAGUAACAAGAAAACCGCAGCUAGAACGAUCCCCAAGUGCCACUAGAUGCAAUCACUCAAGCAAAUGCACUUGGAAUCACUCCCAAUCUCACAAAGAUGUAUAAUCUAUGAAGGAGAUGAGUGGGAGGUGUUUGCUUAGGCUCACAAGGAUGUCUAGAAGUCAAGAAUGCCAAGAGAAUGAGCCCCAAGCCGGCCAAACAUGAAUUUAUAGCCCCUCAAACAAAUAGAGCCGUUGGCUCUUUCACUGGGCGAAAUUCGGGGUCGCCGGACGCUCUUAAAGGGGCACCGGACGGUCAACACCUGCGUCCGAUGCUCCAACGUCAGCCGCGUGUUUCAGAGUCUAACGGUAACCUACAGAGCACCGGACGCUGAGCAGGUUGGCACCGGACGCGUCCGGUGCACACCGGACCCGUGCGCAGAGAGCUCCGCAAACUCGCAGGGUCACCAGACGCAAGCCACCGGACGCACCCAGAGCGUCCGGUGCUCACCGGACUCAUACCUAGAGAGGUUUGCAAAAUGCGCGGACACCGGACUCUCAGACACUAGCUGAGCCAGGCAGCCUGCACACCGGACGCUCAGACACAGCGUCCGGUGCCUCUGAGCCAGCGUCCGGUGAGUGUUCCUCAGCGAGAAACACUCCCGCGACUUCUCCAAAUUUCCCACCUGCGCAAUAGAAAAUAUGCACUUCAUUUUCUCGAAAAGCGCCGAAUCCCGCCGAGCUUGCGAGAGAGGAACCCAUUCCCUCUCUACCCUUCAAACUCCACCUCCUUCUCAAAGUGUGCCAACACCACAACAUGUGUACCAACAAGUGCACGUGUGUUAGCAUUUCCACAAUCAUUUUAUUUGAGGAGUUAACUUAGCUCACUAGGUUCUAAAUGCAUGCACAUGAACAAAGACACCUAGUGGCACUUGAUAACCGCUUAGCCAAAGAAUUCCCCUCUUUAUACUACGGCUAUCUAUCCUAAAUGUGAUCACACCCUCUAUGGUGUCUUGAUCACCAAAACCAUAACCCUAAGCAAUACCUUUGCCUUGAUCUCCAUAGGGUUUUGUUUUUCUCUUUCUUCUUUUCAAAGUUGAGCACUUGAUCAUCUUGUGGUCAUCACCUUCAUCACCAUGAUCAUCACUUGCUCCAUCACUUGGCAUGUACCAACCUCAUUAAGUCUACACACACUUAGUAUAGAGGUUAGUACUAGGGUUUCAUGAAUUAUCCAAAACCAAACUAGGGCUUUCAAUCUCCCCCUUUUUGGUAAUUGAUGACAACCCUUUUUACAAAGAUUUUCAAUAAAAUUUUCUUGGAUUCAUGUUGCUUGCCCAAGCAUUUUACCAUGUGCAAAGGUUAUGGACAAGUUUCAUAAACCUAAAUUGGUAGCAAUUGCUCCCCCUACAUAUGUGCUAAGAGUUUGGAUAGAAGGCUUGCACAUAUGCUUGAAUAGGAAAUAUAGGAGUCAAUUUCUACCAAAUGAUGCUAAGGUGUAAAGAAUGGACCUUUGAAGCAUGAUACCAAUCGGAGUUGCCAAUGUAUACCAUCCUUAGCACCAUUAGUGACUAGACAUUCACAAAAACUAGAACACCCUGUGAGAUCAACAUUAUAAACAAGGUUCUAGUACCACUUGUGAAGCAAAUAAAGGUCUAGUUACACUACCUAUGCAUGCUAGUUCUUCAUUUCAUCAAUCAAACCUAUAACUAGCAUACACCACACAAGCAAGACAUUGGAGAGAAAGCUUCUAAAGCUAAUGCAAAUGCAAGCAACCAUAUGUGAGGCACAUACAAAUGCAACAAACAAGUUUAUGAGCUUGCUCCCCCUACUUGUGUGCUUCAAAAUUUUAAUUGAUCCCCUUCUUUUAUUAUGUAACUCCCCAUCUUAAAUCUUUGGGAAAUUUUCUCCCCCUUUGUCAUCAAAGACCACAAAAGGUGAGCUCAAAUUUUAGAUAGGUUAGUGUGAGACCAUGUGAAGUGAGAUCAUUUUCCCAAAUUGGUCCAAUCUAGAUUACUUGCCUAAGAUAUUUAACUCGGUUUCACACCUCCAAAUAAGAGUUAUCUUGUACCAUGUUGAGUUAAACACUUAUAGCUCAUAUUCUAGAUCAAACACUAGGAUUGCAAGCCCACAAACAUGUCAUAUGCUACCACUAGAUCAAGUCAAGCAUAGAAGCAAUAGUGGUACCAUACAAGCAUCAAAAUCAUUUGAUUUUUAUGAAAGAUCCUAAAACAUGGGAGGAAUGACUAGAUGCACUAAACAAGUCCUUAGCAAAGAUGGAUGACAUGUCAAACAAUUUCACCUUGCUUUGCUCGAAGGAGAGGCAUGUCAUAAAGUGGGGGUGCAUCAACACAUAUUUGAGAAGUCAAGUAUGUUCAAUUCAUUCCUUAGCUUGCAAAACCUCUUCUCAUCAAGUGGCUUGGUGAAUAUAUCGGCAAAUUGAUCAUCGGUGCCUAUACUCUCAAUGCAAAUAUCCCCUUUUUGUUGGUGAUCUCUUAUGAAGUGAUGGCGGACAUCUAUAUGCUUUGUUCUUGAGUGUUGAACUAGAUUGUUGGUAAGCUUCACGGCACUUUCAUUGUCACAUAGCAAUGGCACUUCUUUGAAAUUGAUUCCAAAAUCUUUCAAUGUUUCCUUCAUCCAUAGAAUUUGUGCACAACAACUACCGGCCGCAAUGUACUCCACUUCGGCGGUUGAUAGUGCAACACUAUUUUGCUUCUUGGAUGACCAUGAGACAAGUGAUCUUCCCAAUAGUUGACAUGUGCCCGAUGUGCUUCUUCUCUCAACUUUGCAUCCUGCAUAGUCCGAGUCGGAAUAUCCAACAAGUUCAAACUUUGCACCCUUGGGAUACCACAAACCAACAUUUUGUGUAUGCUUCAAGUACCUCAAUAUUCUCUUUAUUGCUUUGAAAUGACUUUCUCUUGGUGAGGCUUGAAAUCUUGCACACAUGCAUACACUAAACAUGACAUCCGGUCUUGAUGCGGUCACAUAGAGUAGGCUUCCAAUCAUAGACCGAUAUAACUUUUGAUCCACCAUAUUUCCACUUGUAUCAUUAUCUAGGCUUCCAUUUGUUCCCAUUGGAGUGCUAAUUGAUUUUGCAUCAUCCAUACCAAACUUCUUGAGCAUGUCUUUUAUGUACUUGCCUUGACUCACAAAUGUCCAUUCUUCAAUUGCUUGAUUUGAAGACCAAGGAAGUAACUAAGUUCUCCAGUCAUUGACAUCUCAAACUCAUUAGCCAUCAUGUUACCAAACUCCUCACAAAAUUCUUGGUUGGUUGAUCCAAAUAUGAUAUCAUCAACAUAGAUUUGCAACACAAACAAGUCCUUGCCAAUCUUCUUGGUGAAGAGAGGGGUGUCAACCUUCCCCAUCUUGAAACCUUUAGAGAGUAAGAAAUCUCUCAAUCUCUCAUACCAUGCUCUAGGUGCUUGCUUCAAACCAUACAAUGCCUUUCUUAGCUUGUAAACAUGGUUGGGUUCCUUGUCAUCUUCAAAACCAGGAGGUUGCUCAACAUAGACUUCUUCAUUGAUAUACCCAUUGAGAAAUGCACUUUUGACAUCCAUUUGGUAUAACUUGAUGUUAUGAGCACAAGCAUAGGCUAACAAGAUCCUAAUUGCUUCCAAUCUUGCAACCGGGGCAUAUGUUUCACCAAAGUCAAGACCUUCAACUUGAGUAUAGCCUUGUGCUACCAAUCUUGCUUUGUUCCUUACAACUAUCCCAUCUUGAUCUUGCUUGUUGCGAAAGACCCAUCUAGUACAAAUAACAUUGUGAUCACUAGGCCUCUCAACUAAAUCCCAUACUUGAUUUCUCUUGAAAUUGUUAAGCUCUUCAUGCAUAGCAUUAACCCAAUCAACAUCUCUCAAUGCUUCAUCAAUCUUCUUUGGCUCAAUGUGAGACACAAAGGAGAAAUGCUCACAAAAUGAUGCUAAUCUUGAUCUAGUUUGAACUUCUCUUUGAAUAUCACCUAUGAUAUGAUCCAAUGGAUGAUCUCUUGCAAUAUUUGUUGGUUGGAGUAUUUGCACUUGAUUGCUUGCACUUGGUUGAUCAUGAGAUGAUGUACUAGCUUGUUGAUCUUGCACUUGAGUACCACUUGUACUAGCUUGAUUUUGAUCAUGAGAACCACUAGCUUUUAUAUUAGAGGUAGGAAGCACUUGAUCUUUGUCAUCUUCAACAUCAAUCACCUCUCUAGGCCUUAAAUCACCAACAUCCAUAUUCUUCAUUGCAUCGGCCAAUUGAGUGCCUUUCACAUCAUCUAGAUUCUCAUCUUCCUCUUGAGAUCCAUUGGUUUCAUCAAAUUCAACAUCAUGCACUUCCUCAAGAGUACCACUAGCCAAAUUCCAAACUCUAUAAGCUUUGCUAGUAGUGGAGUAACCAAGCAAGAAACCUUCAUCACAUUUCUUUUCAAAUUUGCUCAAUCUAGUGCCUUUCUUCAAUAUGUAGCAUUUGCAACCAAAAACCCGAAAGUAUGCAAUAUUGGGCUUUCUUCCAUUCAAGAGCUCAUAUGGAGUCUUCUCCAUCAUUGGGUGACAAUAAAGUUGGUUGCUAUAGUAGCAAGCCGUGUUGAUUGCUUCGGCCCAAAAGGAAUGACUCAUAUUGUAUUCACUCAACAUUGAUCUUGCCAUGUCAAUCAAGGUUCUAUUCUUCCUCUCUACAAGACCAUUUGAUUGUGGAGUGUACUUGGCCGAGAAUUGAUGCCUAAUGCCAAAUUCAUCACAAAGCUCAUCAACUCUUGUAUUCUUAAAUUCACUUCCAUUGUCACUUCUCACUUUCUUGAUGGUUGUUUCAAACUCAUUGUGUAUUCUCUUGACAAAUGAUUUGAAGGUUGCAAAAGCAUCACUCUUGCCACUAAGAAAGAAUACCCAUGUAUAUCUUGUGAAAUCAUCCACUGUCACAAAUCCAUAUUUGUUUCCACCAAUGCUUGUGUAUGUGGUUGGUCCAAAUAAAUCCAUGUGCAACAACUCAAAUGCCUUGCAUGUACUCAUGAUGCUUUUCUUUGGAUGAGUUUUGCCAACUUGUUUUCCGGCUUGACAUGCACUACAAAGCUUAUCUUUCUCAAAUGUGACAUCUUUCAAGCCUCUAACAAGAUCAUGUUUGACUAACUUGUUCAAUUGUUUCAUUCCAACAUGACCAAGCCUUCUAUGCCAUAACCAACCCAUGCUAGAUUUAGUGAGCAAGCAUGUUGAUAAUUGAGCUUCACUAGCAUUGAAAUCAACCAAGUAUAGAUUCUCAUAUCUAAAGCCUUUGAAUAUCAAGUUAGAGCCAUCUACACUUAUGAUCUCUACAUCAUCAACUCCAAAUAUGCAUUUGAAACCAAGAUCACAAAGUUGAGCUACGGAUAGCAAAUUGAAGUUCAAGCUCUCUACUAGUAGCACAUUGGAAAUGCUCAAGUCAUUGGAUAUAGCAAUUUUACCAAGCCCUUUGACCUUCCCUUUGCCAUUAUCACCAAAUGUGAUACUAUCAACACCAUUGUCAUCAUUUGGAUUGAUUGAAUUGAACAUUCUUGAAUCACCGGUCAUGUGUUGUGUGCACCCACUAUCAAGCACCCAAUGCCUUCCUCCGGCUUUAUAGUUUACCUACAAAACAAAUCAAUGUUUCUUAGGUACCCAUACUUGUUUGGUCCUGGGAGGUUAGUGACUAAGCUUUUUGGUACCCAAAUGGCCUUCUUCUUUGGACCCACAAUUGGUGUACUAACAAACUUAGCAUGCACACCCUUCUCACCCUUGGUAAGCACAUAACAAGAAUCAAAAGGAAUGUAAGAUGCAUUAGCAAUUUUCUUGUUUAUUUUAUUGCAAUUAAGCUCUAAGUGCCCAACUUGCUUGCAUUUGUUGCAAUACCGACCAUUGCUCUUCACGAAGCUAGGCUUGUGAGUUGCAAAGGCUUUCUUGCCUUUCUUGGGGGUAUAGCCUAAUCCCUCUUUGUUGAGAGAAAACCUUUGGCUACCCAAGCACUUUAGCAAGCGGGCCUCUCCACCAUAGGCCUUGCCUAGGGUGUGAGUGAGCUCAUCCACCUCUCUCUUGAGAGUCUCAUUCUCAACCUUUAGUGAGGUAUCACAAGUGACACUAACACUAGAAGUAGAGGUAGAGUUGGUGGUGGUGGACGAAGACCUACAUGAAGAGUUAGUGGCAACAACAAUAGGUGGGUUGGGUGAUUCUUUAGUUAAGUCACAUGUUGUGCCCACAUCACAUGAUACAACAACCUUUUCCUUGUUCUCUUCUAAUAACAAGGAGUGAGCCUUUUCAAGCUUGGUGUGAGCCUUGCCAAGCUUUUCAUGGGCUUCCACUAGCCUCUCAUGAUUAGCAUUGAGCUCAUCAAAGGAUUGCUCAAGAGCUUUUAACUUAUUGGCCAAUUCUUUGUACUUCUUGUUUUUAGAUUGAAUAAGUGAAUCGGAUUGUUCUAGCAUGUCCAUGAGUUGUUCAUUAGUGAAUUCAUUUUCAUCAUCACUAUCACUAUCAUGUUCAUUUUCGUUUUCACUUUCACUCUCAUCAUAUUGUACCUUGUGGCCCUUGGCCAUGAAGCAUGAAGGAGUGUCGAACAGUGAUGGCUUGUUGUUGAUAGCAAUGCUAGCAAGUGCCUUCUUCUUGGAUGCUUUGUCAUCAUCACUUGAAUCAUCAUCCGAAGAGGCAUCACUAUUGUUGACACUAGCUAACACCACUUAGAUACUAGGUUGUCAUCCCUAGCAUGGCGCCAGAGUGUACAAAGGUAUUUAUAAAUGUAAAGGCUCUCUAGAAAAUAAUCUAUUCUAUCCGCAAGCGCACAGAUAAAACACCUCAUUGUAACAUUUCACCAGGAUAAGUAUUCCAGGUAUCGUUAUUUAUAAUUUUGCUCUAGGGAUCUGAGGAAGAUGGAAUUAAAUCAAAGGGGGCAAAAUCUAUCAAGGCAUAGACUAGAGAUAAACUUGCAAGAACAUGAUUACUAAUGAGAAACUCGUCACACAGUCACAUACUUUAGCAGGGGGUAAACCAUAAAGAUAUUGAUAAUAAAGUAUAAGUUCAUGGGGUAAAGAGCACAGCGAUUAGAAAAUAGACUACUCCUCAUAUAUGUAGGUGAUGUCGGAUUAGCUAGAGAAUGGAUUCUAAGUUAUCUACUAACUACUAAGUCAUAAUCUACUCUAGUUAUCUACAAGAUCAUAUAUAGCAUAAAAGACUCUUCAUUCAUGUAUAAGGAACAUUGAUAAAGUAAAUCAGAACAUCGCAUGACUUACUCCACAAUACCGGUUCUGCCUGUCCUAUCAACGGAGGGUGGACUAUAUAAGAAUAAACAAAGCUGUCACUAUCGCGAACUACCACACAACUCGGCCAAUAGGAUACAUUUGCAGAUAAAUAACAUCUAAGCACCACGCUCACAUGUGAUCUAUCACCUAACUCCCUCGCGACAAGAGCUAAGCGCUUUGCAAACUUAUACAUAAACUCAUUAUCAAUUAGAACUAUAUCAAAUAUAGAACUAGAGCAAACUAAGAACAUAAUAAUUAGAGACAUAAUGCAAUUAGAACAAUAGAAUUAGAGAAAGAUAUGAAUAAUACCAAUCUUUAUUACCGAAGAUCCGAAUCCAGAACGUAGUGCUGUACUUCUCUAAUUGCUAUCUAAUCAAACCUCUAAACUUGAAGGAUUAGGGAGUAGCUAAUUCUAAUUCUCUGUGGGAGAGAAGCUCUAAACCCUAACUUUGAUGGCUACCUCUGAAUAAUGAUUUCUCCUCUCUCCUCCAGGGGCCAGGGGGUCUGGUUUUAUAGUCCCCUCAAGUGAACGUGAGCCAUUUGAUCAAACCGACAUAGAUUGUAUGGUUUAGAUUGAUCCUUUAGGUCGGUGGAGGAUUGUCCCGAAGCACAGUCCUGAUUGGACUCUCCACCUGGGCGGGCGCCCAAGGGGGGUGGGCGGCCGCCCAGCCCCCGAGCCCGAAUCCCCUCUCGUUCGUUCCCGUGGCUUCUGGAUCCUUCCAGAUCAAGGAAAAUUGCGCGGCACGUAAUUAUCUCGUUGUAAACAUGACAUGUGGGCCUUCUCUCCCUAUUUUCUGAUAAACCCCUACAGAAAUAGAUAAACACCAAAACUCGUGGAAUUCUGUCAAAUAAAACCCUAAUUCUAGAUGUUUGUUUCAUAUUGAUCCUUUUUCAUGUUUAUUUGAUUAUUAAUUUUAGUACUUAAGGACCGUCAACAAACUCCCCCAAGCUUACCCUUUGCUCGUCCCUGAGCAAAUAGCUAAACUCAGACGGAUCAGGAGUUGCUUCGAUGUUUUCUUUCCUGACAGGCACACAUGCUUUUACAUAAAAAUUCUUCCAGAUUAGAGUGAAGUGUUAUGAAGUUUAGUACCUGCACUUAAGUCUUAUCUAAUCGAAAGACAAAAUAGUUAAGUCAAGCACUAUCCCUCCUGUCUAUACUUCACCUUUGUUCUAGAGUUUUUCAUAAGUUUUUAAAAUAAAACUCAGAGUUCCCAGCAAUGAUUCUCUCAAGUCUCUCUAUAUGUAGUAUUUGUGGAUCCUUACCAUAGUGUCACUUGCCUAUAGCUAAUAGAAUAAUUAAGUGGAGCUCAUAGGAGUGCAAACAGCUCAUACAUAUGUUGUCUAAUCGAGCCAUGGAUCCAAAGGAACUCAGCAUAUAAUUAAAUCAAGAUGUGCAUGUGUGAUGGAGUAAAUGAUAGUGAUGGUGAAAAUGCAUAAGUGAUAAUAAAAUUUACUUCUCAUUGCUCCUCAUAUUGCUAUCUCUCCUCUUCUUUGAUCAUUGCUUUGGGAGAACAUGGGCUAUCUUUUUUUUUAGGUGGGUAGUGGAUACCCCUAAUUCUACUGUCGGACACUUGUCCAUUUUUUCCGCUCAAGUGGGCAUCUUUGUACCCCUAAUUCUACUUCGGACACUUGUCCAUUUUUACCUCUCGUCUCACUCUUUUUCUUUUAUCGAGGUUCCGGGCACUUGCCCCUUUUUAUUUCCUCGUAUAUAUAUUUUUUUUUGCAUAACCCAUGCCUCUUCUGCAUUGAAUCUUUUUAGAGAGAGAGAAUAACAAUAUUCGGGACAGUGAGUGAUAAUAUUUUUAGCAAUUUUAAUGAUUGAUAAUGAAUGCUGUGGUAGAUGUGUGCAAGUGAAUAUCUUAAUUUAACCACAUGAAAAGCUCCUAAGGGUCAACACAGCUCGAUCAAACUCAAUGUGAAUAUAGUAAAGAUUUUAUAGCAAGUAUGGCUGUGGUAGGUAGUUUGUUAUGCUAGGAACUCAUCAUGUGAUUUGUAAGUUUUCAAAAAUAAAUCUCUAGAACUUGGUGUAGUAGGAACAAGAUAAACAGUAGCUCAACUUUAUAUCAUGCCUUUCUCUUACCUAGACAUUAGUUUAUGCUUUCCCAAAGAUAGUAAUUUUAGUUUUAGUAAUUCCUGGAAGAAUUCUAAUAUAAAAGCUAGGUAUUUGUAAGUGAGCAAAUAGAGCAACUAUUCAUCAUUUCCAUCAUGUAUAUUUUUGGUCUUUUUAUUUUUCUAGAGAUUAAACUUAGCAGGAAGAUAAAGCACACUUAUCUACACACUCUUUUUAUUUUGUUUUCAUGUUUAUAAAGUGCAGUAAAUUAAAGCAAUAAAAUACUUAUUUGGUUUUCUAAGCUUUUCCUUUUAAGAUAAAUUAAAUACUAAGACAGAAUAGAAUAAAUAAGAAGAGCAAAUAAAAACUUACUUGAUAAAUUUGGGAGGAACUCCCCCAAGCUGGAUGUUGACGUCGGUCUUACCCGAUGUUCCAGAAUCGCAUCAUGGUUGUGAUGUUGUCGUUCAUUGUUGUUGUAUCUUGUCUCAGCUCUUCUACUGUAGCGGCAUGGUCCUGGUUCCAUUUUUGUUGCUCUUCAAGGAGCCUUCCAUGUUCUGCUUGCGUGUUCUGGAUGUUGAGGAGGGUGUUGUCGGUACGAGUGAAGAAAGCACCGGCCUCUUGAUAGUAGUCAUUCGUGAAGGCGUAGGAGGCGUCGGAGUAUCGUCCUGCAUCAAAUUGGGGUGGAGGUCUGGAUCCUGAAGCUCCAUAUGGAUCAGUGGAGUACCUGCCCGUAUGAAAAGGUGGGUUUGUCCACUGGUGAUCUUGGCUCUCCGGCCAUGUCUCCUCUGUUGGCUCUUGUGGUUGUGCAUAUCGAGCCCAUGGGUCUCGAAGGACUCGUGGAUUGUAAUCGCAAUAAUGCAGGUGCGCUGCUUCUUCUGGUCCAGGGUCAGCUCGAUACCAAGUGCGUUCUCGAUGAGUGGUUAUCCUUUCAGAUGCCACUCGCUGUGGAGUUCUCUGGUUCACUGGUGUUGCUCCAAUCUCAAUCAAAAAGUUUUGCACAGUGUAGAGGCCAAGGUUCGGGUUAGGUAACCGAAUCUUGCCUUUAUCAUCAUACAACAUAUACAUUAUGUUCCCCUCUUUCUUUAACAUCCGAGCUUGUCUAAAUGUGUCAUAGCCAUGAUAAAUUCUUAAUUCUUCUAUGAAGUCCAACGAUGAGUUUUCUAGUAAGUGAAGAUUAGUGGCUAGACGAGUGAUAAGUGAAGUACAUCCUACUGGUCCCUGCAGACUAGGUAUACUAAGCCAAUGUGAAACUAAUAAUGUAACAGGUGAAGUGGGUACUUUACUAAUAGCAGGAUAUAAAAGUUGUAAAUCUCCUACUCUUACUUUCCUAAUAUCGUCACGAUAGAAAAGAUUGUACCCAAGCCAUUUGUGAAACAUCCUAAGAGUGGGGUGUUCCAUGUCACUGGUUCGGGCUUGACUGUAAAAAUUAUCUCUAGAUAUUUCUCUCCAAAACUGGUGUCUCUCAAAAUUGGGUAAAUCGGAGUCGAUGUUUAGGAUGCAUCUUGAAGAGAAACCAAGAUGGUCGCUCAGCUCUCUCCAAGACAGCAUAAUUUCCUGUUUAAACAUCCGAAAAACAAUUCCCCCCUCAUAGUAUUGUAAAGUACAAAGAAAUUCGAGGGUGAGAAGACGAGAACCCAGCUCAGUUAUAUUCCAAAAAUUUGUCCAACCCAUCAUUUGAAAAAUUAAGUCAAAUUUAGUGUCCAUACCUGUUUCUCGUAGUAGGAUUGGAUCGAUAGUAGGGGUGUGAAUGAAAUCUUUGUUCUUCAGUUGCUGAUAGACUUCCUUCUCUCUUCGGGUCUUCAGUCCUAGGUCUCCUAUCUUGAGAAGGACCUUGACUUGCUGGCCUGAUGAAGAUGAUGGAGCUUGUGUGGGUGUCGGGUCGACGCUCAUCUCUGAUGGUUGUGAGGAGUGUCGGGAUGAACUCCUUGUACCAAUGUUCUUGAGAGCCUUCCCUGCAUUCUUCACCUUCUUAAACAUCCUGCAAACAAAAGUUGGCAAAAACACAACUGGUGGAAAAUGUGAGAUAAAAUGUUAGUGGUCAGCUGUCCGGAGUGUCAGUAGUCCAGGGGUUAAUCGUUCAAGACAAGUUUCUAUUUUGGUAGAGCCUCCCCCUAAACAACUUUUACUUCCGCUUAGACAGCGGGAUCACUACUUGCUAGGUGAUAAACACUCUCUCAAAAGAACUCCAACUUUCUCGUCCACUCUCCUCUUUGUCUCUACUCUCUUCUCUUCACUACAAAAGCUCCUUCUCAGGAGACUGAGAUUUGUGUGGUUUUCUGAAGUGUUUGUGUGAAGAGAAGGAAAGCUGGAGGUGGCCUUUUAUAAGCUGAGCAGGGGACAGGGCGGGCGCCCAAGGUAGGUGGGCGGGCGCCCACCCCUGGUGUCCAUCCUGGGUGUGCUUCCUCCACUUGCUUCCUUGCUUUGAUCUCACGCAAAAUAAUGUUGUGUUGGUGGUGGUUGGACGGUGGAAAGAUGUCAGGUGAGUGGAAAUAUAUUGGUGGAUGAAAUUAUGUGAUGGGAUGUAUGUGAGGUGAAGUGUAUGACAUGUGGGAUCCAAAGAGUGUGGGUCAUGCUUCUAGAAGAUUAAUAUGAUUAAAUAUAAUGCAGGAAAAUCUAUGAGAAUCGAAACUUAAUGAAAAUGAUAAUGGAAAAUAUUUUUGUGCCUCCACAAUAAUAAAUAUGGGUUGUUACACACCACAAAUAUUAUUUAUAUGGGGCUUUUUGAUUAUUAUAAUAAUGCUAUGACUAAUGCAAGAAUUAAUUAUGCAAGAAUGAGAAAAUUGAUAAUGCGGAUAAAUACCGAUUUACCUCCCGGUGAGGGUUUGGGAUUUUUAGGUCCCCCAAGCUGGACCUCCAAAUCUUUUAAUCUUCUGAGUUACCUUCCUCUGGAGAUGGUGUCUCCAGUGGUUCUUCUUGAACUUCCUUCACUGUAGAGUCUCUCUCUGGUCUGGGUUUGAAUGUGAAGUGUUCUUCUUGACCGUUUAUGUUGAACUUGAUUUCUCCCUUCCCGACAUCAAUGUGGGCAUUAGCAGUGCUCAGAAAUGGCCUUCCAAGGAUGAUGGACACUUUUGAGUCAGGACUCAUGUCCAGUACUACGAAGUCUACUGGCACCAGGAAAUCUCUGAUCUUGACUGGAAUGUUCUCGGCGAUGCCCAACGGGUGUCGAACCGAUUGAUCCGCUAGUUGUAGGCACAUUGAUGUUGGUUCUAAGGUCGCAUGCUCAAGCUUUUUGUAGACUGAUACUGGCAUCACUCUGACACUUGCUCCGAGAUCACAAAGUGUAUUGUUGAAGUGAUGGUUUCCGAUCGAGCAAUCUAUAGUGGGACAUCCGGGAUCUUCCUUCUUCUUUGGUGGCUUAUUGAGGAUGGCCGCACUACAUUCUUCCGUCAGCUUGAUAACCUCAGUGGUGGGCAGUGGUCUCUUCUUGUUAAGAAUAUCUCUGAUGUACUUUGCAUAUGUAGGUACCUGUAUGGCAUUGAGCAGAGGUAUGUUGACAUAUAAUUUCUGAAUGACCUCUACAAACUUACCAAACUGCUCAUCCGACUGCAGUCCUCUGUUUCUUCUGGGAAAUGGCAAAUAGUUGGUGUCGUAAAAAUCUUUCCUCAUUUCUCCAGUUCUUGGUGGUUGGAGCAGAUCUUCUGCUUCAACUGGGCUUUCUUCUUCUAUUACUGCUGGUUGCACUGGUGCUGAUGUUCUUUGUUUCUCUUUUGGGUAUGGUGGAUCUCUGGUAGCUUUACCUCCUCUAGUAGUUAUAUUCUUUACCUGCUCAAUGUUAGUAGCAACAGGCAGUGCAGCAGCUAACUUUUUUAAUUUAAGCUCUACCCUUUUAUUAAGAGUGUUUUGCUCAUCAAAGGCAGUUAGUAGAAAAUCCAUUUUAUUGUGUAUAUCUUUUAGAGAUGAUUCAUUUGUAUCUAGCCUUUGUUUAACUUCAUCAUUAAUUUUGGUUUGUUGAGCAAUUAUCUCUUUUAAUGAAAGUUGCUUGACAGUAUUACCUGAAUUCAUACCUUUGCUAUUGGGUUGACUCGAAGUUGGUUGAUAUUUGUAUGCUGUCUCAAUGGCCCUUUGAUCUUCUUUGAACUUGGCCCUCUGGUCAAUCCAAUGGAGCAAAUUUUCCAUCUUAGUUGAUAAUGCAUUUAUUUCUUCUGGUAUUUCUUCAGUUUGAUGACAAUGUUGAGCUUUAUCUUGGAACCAGCUUUGGUUUUCUGCUAUCUUAUCCAAAAGUAUCUCUGCUUUUCCAGUUGUAAGCUCCAAGAAUGAUCCUUUAGCAGAUGCAUCUAGGCACUCACGAGCCUUCUGGGUUAAUCCAUGGUAGAAGGUCUGCAUAAGUAACCAUGUGGCCAUUCCAUGGUGAGGACAAUCUGAUAUGUAUCCUUGAAAACGCUCCCAUGCUUCUGAAAUGGCUUCUGUCUUCUGCUGUUGGAAACUGACAAUAUUUCCUCUUAAGGCAGUUGUUUUGCCUAUAUUGAAAAACUUUGAUAGAAAGGCAUCUGACAAGUUCGUCCAGUUGUUGAUGUUAUCUUGAUGAGUGUAGAACCAUUUCCUCGCUUUUCCUUCUAAUGAGAAUGGAAAAAGGCGAAGCAGUAUGACGUCUUUGUCAACUCCGUUGAUGUGGAUUGUGCUUCCAAUCUCUAAGAAAUUCUGCAAGUGUGCACUGGCAUCUUCAUGUGCCUUUCCACUGAAUUGUGUAGCUUGUACCAAAUUGAUGAGGCUUGACUUGAGCUCAAACUCAGGUAUUCCUUCUUCUACUGCAAAUCUUGGACCAGUUGGAAUGUUCUCAAGACUUGGAGCAGAGAAUUCUUGCAAGGUCUUUUGUGCCAUAGCUUCAGCAAUUGGUAACUAGCUUCUUCUUCUCUUGAUUGCUUUGGUUUUGAUGAUGAAGAGUUGAAUGUACCCAAAGUCAAUCCUGUUAUACCCUGUAUAAAAAUAUAAACAUAGAAAAACAACAGGGUGAACCUGCCAAAGCAGCGGUGCCUUGUUAUGAUUUCUCACUUAGUAGCUGUUUUAUGCAAUUAUUUCUCUAUAGUCUAGUCUAAAAUUUUAUAUGAAUAACCUUGAUUGAUUUUCUGAGUUUCCUCAAUAUUACUCCUUUGUUCCCCUUUUACGACUUAUUCUUGAGACUCAUAUAAUUCUUAUAAUUCUAACAUGUCUCCGUAACUCCCCGGCAACGGCGCCAGAAAUGCUUGUUGACACUAGCUAACACCACUUAGAUACUAGGUUGUCAUCCCUAGCAUGGCGCCAGAGUGUACAAAGAUAUUUAUAAAUGUAAAGGCUCUCUAGAAAAUAAUCUAUUCUAUCCGCAAGCGCACAGAUAAAACACCUCAUUGUAGCAUUUCACCAGGAUAAGUAUUCCAGGUAUCGUUAUUUAUAAUUUUGCUCUAGGGAUCUGAGGAAGAUGGAAUUAAAUCAAAGGGGGCAAAAUCUAUCAAGGCAUAGACUAGAGAUAAACUUGCAAGAACAUGAUUACUAAUGAGAAACUCGUCACACAGUCACAUACUUUAGCAGGGGGUAAACCAUAAAGAUAAUGAUAAUAAAGUAUAAGUUCAUGGGGUAAAGAGCACAGCGAUUAGAAAAUAGACUACUCCUCAUAUAUGUAGGUGAUGUCGGAUUAGCUAGAGAAUGGAUUCUAAGUUAUCUACUAACUACUAAGUCAUAAUCUACUCUAGUUAUCUACAAGAUCAUAUAUAGCAUAAAAGACUCUUCAUUCAUGUAUAAGGAACAUUGAUAAAGUAAAUCAGAACAUCGCAUGACUUACUCCACAAUACCGGUUCUGCCUGUCCUAUCAACGGAGGGUGGACUAUAUAAGAAGCAACGAAGCUGUCACUAUCGCGAACUACCACACGACUCGGCCAAUAGGAUACAUUUGCAGAUAAAUAACAUCUAAGCACCACGCUCACAUGUGAUCUAUCACCUAACUCCCUCGCGACAAGAGCUAAGCGCUUUGCAAACUUAUACAUAAACUCAUUAUCAAUUAGAACUAUAUCAAAUAUAGAACUAGAGCAAACUAAGAACAUAAUAAUUAGAGACAUAAUGCAAUUAGAACAAUAGAAUUAGAGAAAGAUAUGAAUAAUACCAAUCUUUAUUACCGAAGAUCCGAAUCCAGAGCGUAGUGCUCUACUUCUCUAAUUGCUAUCUAAUCAAACCUCUAAACUUGAAGGAUUAGGGAGUAGCUAAUUCUAAUUCUCUGUGGGAGAGAAGCUCUAAACCCUAACUUUGAUGGCUACCUCUGAAUAAUUAUUUCUCCUCUCUCCUCCAGGGGCCAGGGGGUCUGGUUUUAUAGUCCCCUCAAGUGAACGUGAGCCAUUGGAUCAAACCGACAUAGAUUGUAUGGUUUAGAUUGAUCCUUUAGGUCGGUGGAGGAUUGUCCCGAAGCACAGUCCUGAUUGGACUCUCCACCUGGGCGGGCGCCCAAGGGGGUGGGCGGCCGCCCAGCCCCCGAGCCCGAAUCCCCUCUCGUUCGUUCCCGUGGCUUCUGGAUCCUUCCAGAUCAAGGAAAAUUGCGCGGCACGUAAUUAUCUCGUUGUAAACAUGACAUGUGGGCCUUCUCUCCCUAUUUUCUGAUAAACCCCUGCAGAAAUAGAUAAACACCAAAACUCGUGGAAUUCUGUCAGAUAAAACCCUAAUUCUAGAUGUUUGUUUCAUAUUGAUCCUUUUUCAUGUUUAUUUGAUUAUUAAUUUUAGUACUUAAGGACCGUCCAGAACUAUCCCAUGUCACAACAUAGGAUCCACCCUUCUUCUUCUUCUUAAAGACCAUCUUCUUCUCUUUCUUUUCUUUCUUCUCCUUCUUGUUCUUCUUGUCAUGCUCAUCAUGAUCACUAUUGUAUGGACAAUCCGCCACACUAUGAUCGGGGCUCUUGCACUUGUAGCAUAGCCUCACAUAUUCCUUGUUCUUGGAGUUGUCCCUUCUCUUUCUUGUAUGGUAGCCCUUCUUCUUCAUCAUCUUGCCAAACUUGCGGACAAAGAGUGCUAAUGCUUCAUCAUCACUAUCAUCAUUAGAGCACUCCUCAUCACUUGAUUCUUCUUUCUUGGCCUUGCCCUUGUUCUUGCUCUUGGAUGAAGAGCUAGCUUUGAAUGCUACACUCUUCUUCUUCUUGUCAUCCUCAUCCUUCUUCAUGACCUCAUCAUCAUCAUUGUCAUUAUAUUUAUCUUCGGUCAUGACAUCUCCAAGUACCUCAUUGGGAGAUACACCGGUCAAUCCACCUCUAAAGAUGAUUGUUCUCAAUAUCUUGAACCUCUUGGGCAAGCACAUCAAGAACUUGUGAAUGAAGUCCUCAUCUUUCACUUUCUCGCCAAGGCCCUUGAGAUCAUUGAUGAUGACUUGGAGCCUAUAGAACAUUUCCGGUAUAGACUCAUCAUCCUUCAUCUUGAAGUUGGAUAGCUUGUCCUUGAGCAUAUACAAGUUGGCACUUUUUACCGUUCUAGUGCCCUCAUAUGUUUCUUCUAGCCUAGUCCACACUUCACUUGCUCUCUCAAGAUCUUUGACUUGUUCAAAUACCUUUGAAUCAAUGCCAUUAUAGAUUGUGUUGAGAGCCAUUGUAUUACAUUGCUUGUUUACUCUCUCAUUGUCGGUGGGGUUUGCGGGGUCAAGGAUCACAAAGUCAUUCUCCGUGACUUCCCACACUCUAUCAUUGAUUGAUCCAAGGUACAUCUUCAUUUUUCUCUUCCAAUAGUCAAAGGAACUUGUGCCAUCAAAGAACGGUGGUUUGCCCCCAACAUGGUUGAACACUAUUUGAGCCAUAAUUUGAGCCUUCACAAACGGUGACCACGGCUCUGAUACCACUUGAAAGGUCCUAAUAUGGCUAGAGGGGGGGUGAAUAGCCUAUUUAAAAAUUCUACAAACUGAGCAAGAGGUUAGUAAGUAACAAAGUGAAGCUUUUUGCUCUAGUUCUAAUGGGGUGUUUGCAAGCCACCUAUCGAGCAAUUCUAGUUGAUAUAAUCACUAGGCACACAAGAGCUAUGUCACUACUUACACUAGAAAGCUACCUAAAGUUUCUAUACAAGUAAUUAAGCUACUCUAGUUUGCGGAAAUGUAAAAGAGAUGGUUUGAACUUUAUACCGCCGCGUAGAGGGGAUGAACCAAUCAAUAAUAUGAAGUCCAAUCACCGGGAGAAAUCCAAUGAACAAUCACAAUGGAGACACACAAUUUUUCUCCCGAGGUUCACGUGCUUGCCGGCACGCUACGUCCCCGUUGUGUCGACCAACACAUGGUGGUUCUGUGGCUAAGAGGUGUAGCACGAACCUUCUCCUCACUAGGACACCACAAGAACCUACCCACAAGUGAGGUAGCUCAAUGACACGAGCACUUUACUAGAGUUACCUUUCGGCUCUCAGCUAGGAAAGGUACAAGACCCCUCACAAUCACCGGGAGAUGGCACGAACAAUCACCAACUCAUGCCAAUCCUCCUCCGCUGCUCCGAGCCAUCUAGGUGGCGGCAACCACCAAGAGUAACAAGAAAACCACAGCUAGAACGAUCCCCAAGUGCCACUAGAUGCAAUCACUCAAGCAAAUGCACUUGGAAUCACUCCCAAUCUCACAAAGAUGUAUAAUCUAUGAAGGAGAUGAGUGGGAGGUGUUUGCUUAGGCUCACAAGGAUGUCUAGAAGUCAAGAAUGCCAAGAGAAUGAGCCCCAAGCCGGCCAAACACGAAUUUAUAGCCCCUCAAACAAAUAGAGCCGUUGGCUCUUUCACUGGGCGAAAUACGGGGUCACCGGACGCUCUUAAAGGGGCACCGGAUGGUCAACACCUGCGUCCGAUGCUCCAACAUCAGCCGCGUGUCAGAGUCUAACGGUAACCUGCAGAGCACCGGACGCUGAGCAGGUUGGCACCGGACGCGUCCGGUGCACACCGGACCCAUGCGUAGAGAGCUCCGCAAACUCGCAGGGUCACCAGACGCAAGCCACCGGACGCACACAGAGCGUCCGGUGCUCACCGGACUCAUACCCAGAGAGGUUUGCAAAACGCGCGGACACCAGACUCAGACCACCAGACGCUCCAGCUUGCGUCCGGUGCCUAGCGUCCGGUGCCUAACCCUAGCUGAGCCAGGCAGCCUGCACACCGGACGCUCAGACACAGCGUCCGGUGCCUCUGAGCCAGCGUCCGGUGAGUGUUGCUCAGCGAGAAAAUUAAAAACUUGUCAACUCUUGCUGGCAUAUUGCUUAUUAGAGGGACCAUGGGCUAUCAUUUUCUUCUUUUUUUUUCUCUUUUUUUAGUGGAUACCGAGGUACCCCUAAUUCUACUGCCGGACACUUGUCCAUUUUUUCUGCGAGGUUAUCGAGCACUUGCUCCUUUUUAUUUCCUCGAAAUAUUCAUAUUUUUGCAUAGCCCAUGCCUCUAAUGCAAUAAUACUUCGGAAGAGUGAAUCUUUGUGAAUGAAUGUUUUGAUCUUAGGAGCAUGAUAAAUCUCUCAACAAGGGUCUAACUCAUUUUGAACAAACUCAACACAGAGUAGAUAGCUUUUAUAAUUAUCAUUAUUUUUAGGUUUAGCAUGCAUAUAAAACACUGAGGAUGGUAGCUAGAAUUUUUGAAGAUUUAAAAUAAAUUCUCCAAGCAACAAUGAUAUCAAGAAUAAGGUACUCAUACUCUACCAUAUUUCACACUGCCUUAACUAACAUAGGGUUUUAAAAUGAUUUUCAAUAGUUGCAAGUUUUCACGAAAUAUCACAGAGUAAGAUUAAUCAUGAUUAGAGACAUUUUAAUCUUUUUAAUUUAUCAUGUCGGAGACAAUAUUCUACAUAAUCCAAGAUAUAUGUAUAUGUGUAAAGUGUGCAGAGUAUGUACAUGAAUCGUAGAGUGGUGUAGUCGAAGUGUGUUUGGUAUGUCGAGGGAUCUCCCCCAUACUUGUUUUCUGCUUUCUUGCACAAAAAUAAAGUAGAGACACACAAGACAUAAUAAUAAUAAUAAUAAUAAUAAUAAUAAUAAUCUCUAUUAAUCUUGAGGCAUUUAUUACAAAUGACUAGUAAUGAACUUGAAGCUAAUAAUAGAUCUAAACCAAAUUUAAAGACAAAUAACUAAGAUGCACUGCCUCAAGAUCUAAUCUAGAUAACUUAGCGGCGCUCUAACUACCAGAUCUUCUUAUUGGCACUAGCAAGAUCAUGCCUAGGACCUAGUAUCACGGUGUUGUGGUUAGAGAGCUUCCUAGUGAUAGAGUUAACCGAGGACUGGAGGUCUAUGAUGACCCUAUCUAGCCUACGGACGUCCUCAUCAAUAUCUACUAUAGUCCUGCGACGCUUAGGAGGUUUCUCGAAAGCAUUGCGAGCAUGCUUCGGGGCUGCCUUUGGAGGGAUGCAACGGACUUUGGCUGCUCUGAUCCCCUCAAAGUAAGGCCUCUCUUCCUCCGUAGUGUAGCGGAUGCUGCUGAUCUCGCCGCUCCGGUUGGUCUUGACUCCAACGACCCUCUCAUUGGGUCUGGGUGGUAGGAUCCUAGUGCCGGCUGGCACCUUGAUGGUGGCCUCCUUCUUGGCUGAUGGUCCCUUGAGAAGUAGGGUCUGCGGCGGUGCGGUGAGAACUGGUUGAGCAUGGUAGGAUUGGGUGGAGCUGCGCCGGCGUAAUGGCAUGGCUUCUAGCUGUCGCUCUGUGUUGGCCAGGACGGGAGCGUGGGCGUCAGGGUCUUCCUUGGGCUUCUUGUUGAGGUCGUAGGGAACCACUUCCCAAUCAUCGUGGAACUCUUCGGCCAUUGGAGCAGCGAGGGACUAAUCAAGCUCUAAUUGAAGAAGGAGAGAAGGCUUGAAUAGAUUGGUGUUUGAAAACUGACGUAAGGGGUCUGUUUAUAUAGGGGUCAAAAAGUGCCUCUAGGGUUCUCUCGGGCUACUCCCGCCGCCGUGUGUGCGAAACUUUCCGUCUGAAGGAUUAUUUGGUUUACCAUAAAUGUGUUUACCGUGACGAAGGAGAACGGGACUGAGAGGGGACAGGGGCUGGGCGCCCACCCUUAUCAUCAGGGCGCCCGCCCUGUGUCUGGCCCCUCUGUGGGCCCGCUUCCCCGAGCGUGCUUCUAGAUGCAAAACUUAUUAGCAAAAUAUAUACGUGUCCCUAAAAUGUUAGAUUAAAAAGGUUGGGCUCUAAUUCUCCAUGGGAAGGUAGAAAUGGAUUUUGUCAAUUUCUUCUAAUUCUUUAUUGGGCUCUAAUAAUAAUUUAAGAUGUUGACCAUUUACCUUGAAUAACGUACCUUCGUCAUUUUGAAGUGUGAUAUCUCCAUGGGAUGAUGAAUUGAUUACCUUUAAUGGUCCUUCCCAUUUACUCUGAAGUUUUUCAUGCCCGAAAAGCUUUACCCUGGAAAUAAAAUGUAAUACCUUAUCUCCGGGUGCGAACUCCUUCUUGAUCCUCUUGUCAUGCCACCUUUUGACUCUUUCUUUGUAGAUCUUCGAGUUGUGAUAUGCUUUCUCUCCCCAUUCUUCCAAUUCUAAUAAUUGCAUUUGUCUAUGAUCUCCAGCGACAUCUAGGUCCAUAUUCCAUCUCCUUAUGGCCCAGUGUGCUUUGAAUUCUAGUUCAACAGGUAGGUGGCAAGUCUUCCCGUACACCAAUUGGUAUGGGGACAUUCCAAUUGGGGUCUUGUACGCUAUCUGGUAUGCCCAGAGUGCAUCAGCUAACUUGUCUUUCCAUGUUGUUCCCAUCUCAUUGACUGUCUUCUGAAGAAUGUUCUUGAUUUGCUUGUUGGAAGUCUCUGCUUGGCCACUUGUCUGAGGAUGGUAGGGCGUAGCGACGUUGCGACAGAUUCCAUGUCUUGAUAGAUAUUGCUUGAAGCGUUUGUCAUAGAAGUGUGCUCCUUCAUCACUUAUCACUACUCUCGGAACUCCAAAUCUUGGAAAUAUAACUUCUUCAAACAUCCUCUUUGAACUGAUGUUGUCGGCGUGUUUGCAAGGUAGUGCCUCUAUCCACUUGGAGACAUAGUCAAGUGCCACCAAGAUGUACUCACACUUCUUUGAUGGGGGAAAUGGACCCAUAUAUUCUAUUCCCCAGACAUCAAAGAGCUCAAUCUGAAGGUUGUUGGUGAGUGGCAUGGCAUCCCUUGUAUUUAUGUUUCCCUGCCUUUGACAUGGCCCACAUCUUCUAAUAUAUUGCUUCGUGUCUUCAUACAUUGUAGGCCAGUAGAAUCCACACUGCCAGAUCUUUGAAUGUGUACGGAAUGCUCCAUAAUGACCUCCAUAUGGUGAUGAAUGAUACCUGUCGAUGAUCUUCCAUCCUUCCUCGGUGGUCACACAUUUUCUGAGUAAGCCAUCAGAGCAUACUCGGAAGAGGUAUGGCUCAUCCCAUAUAUGUGAACGACUUUGUUGAAUAAGCUUCUUCUUGUUCACUCCUGGUGGUACAUACCCUGAAACCAUAAAAUUAACAAUAUCUGCAUACCAGGGGUCAGACCUGUUAAUCCCAUAGAGCAUGUCGUCCCAGAGUGAAUCAUUGAUGGGGGUUUCCUGUGGAUUCUUAAAAUACAUUCUAGACAAGUGAUCAGCAACAGAUUUUUCUACUCCCUUUUAUCUUUUAUUUCUAUGUCAAAUUCUUGAAGUAAUAAUAUCCAUCUAAUCAGGCGAGGUUUAGCAUCUUUUUUAGUGAGCAGAUAUUUUAGUGCAGCAUGAUCAGUGUAAACAAUUAUUUUAGCUCCAACUAAAUAAGAUCUAAAUUUAUCAAUGGCAAAGACAACAGCCAGAAGCUCUUUUUCAGUGGUUGCAUAAUUAAGUUGAGCUCCUGUCAAAUUUUUACAGGCAUAAGCAAUUGCAUGAUGCCUCUUAUUUUUAGUUUGUCCCAAAACUGCCCCCACAGCAUAAUCACUAGCAUCACACAUAAUUUCAAAAGGCAACGACCAAUCAGGGGGUUGAAUGAUUGGUGUAGAGAUGAGUGCAUUCUUUAAUAAAUUGAAAGAUGUUAGGCAUGCAUCAUCAAAUUCGAAAGGAGCAUCCUUGGCUAGCAAAAGAGUAAGUGGUCUAGCAAUAAAUGAAAAAUCUUUUUAUGAAUCUAAGAUAAAAACCAGCAUGGCCAAGAAAGCUUCGAAUUCCUUUUAUGUUCACAGGUGGAGGUAGUUGUUCAAUUACUUCAAUUUUAGCUUUGUCUACCUCAAUACCUCUUUCAGACACUAGGUGUCCUAGCACUAUUCCUUCCCUAACCAUAAAAUGACAUUUUUCCCAAUUAAGGACUAAGUGCUUUUCUUCACAUCUUUGCAAAACCUUGUCUAAGUUUUCAAGACAACUAUCAAAAGGUUUUCCAUAAACAGAGAAAUCAUCCAUGAAAACUUCCAUAAUCUCUUCAAUCAUAUCAGAAAAUAUAGACAUCAUGCAUCUUUGAAAAGAAGCUGGUGCAUUACAUAACCCAAAAGAUAUUCUACGGUAAGCAUAAGUUCCAUAUGGGCAUGUAAAAGUGGUAUUGCUUUGAUCAUCGGGAUGGAUCGGGAUCUGGUGAUACCCUGAAUAUCCAUCUAAGAAACAGAAGAACGAAUGGUUCGCUAAUCGCUCUAGCAUAUCAUCUAUGAAAGGUAAAGGAAAAUGAUCCUUUCUCGUGGCUUUGUUUAGUUUUAUAUAGUCUAUGCACAUCCGCCACCCUGUGACGGUGCGUUGUGGAAUUAGGUCGUUCUUUUCACUCAUAACAAGAGUCAUGGCUCCCUUUUUAGGCACAACUUGCACUGGGCUCACACACUCACUGUGAGCACAUGAUAUAUAAUCCCUACAUGCAGCAACUUUAUAACUUCCUUUUUAACUACCUCUCUCAUCGCGUUGUUAAGUCUACGUUGGGGCUCUCGAGAAGGUGAAACAAAAGGAUCUGUCGGAAUGCGAUGGGUACAGAUCAUAGGACUGAUUCCUGUAUGAUCUUGGAGUGAGUAGCCGAAAACUGAGUGAUGUUUCUCAUGAAUGGUCAUUAAUUGCAAAGUUUGCUCCUGAGUGAGUUUAUCACUAAUAAUCACAGGAAACUCUGGAUUAUUGUUUAGGAAAGCAUAGAUAAGAUCGGGUGGUAAAGUUUUAAGCUCUAUGGGAGGUCUAGGCGUUUCCGCAAACUCGUCUAAGGGUUCAGGUUUAGAAGGUUUGGCUUCUUCUUCUAUGAAGAAAGGAGCUUCGUCUUCUAAGUCUGGUUCUUCUAAAAGCUCUUGAGAUGCAGCCUUUACCUCCUCCAUAGGAUCAGGCAAAAGAUAUGACUCAGCCUUAUUAUUUAAGGAGUGUGAAAUUGUUAUUGGGAAUUUAAAAGUUUUUCCAAAAGAAAUGUGUAGCUUUCCAGUAUGACCUUUAUAAAGGAGUCUUCUAAAAGGUUGUCCUAUCAACAGGUCGAAGUCCCAUGUAUCAAAGAUAUAAAAGUUCAAAUGAACCAUGAAGCCUUCUACCAAUAAGGGUAGGACUUUAAUAAUUCCAAGACUGGGGACUAAUCGUCCCGAAGAUUCCUUUAUGACCUUUGUUGUGGGGGUUAAGGCCAAAUUUUUAAAUAGUUUAAGUGCAAAAGAUUCAGACAUGAUGUUGAUCCCCACAACAGGAUUAUAGAGAGCAUCAAAGUGAUCAGAAUCAUAAGCACAGUGUAUAGUUAUAGGAGGUAUGUCCAAACGGAUCACAUUAGAGGAAAGCUCUGACUCUUCCAACCAUUCACUACUCAUGACUGAGAUAAGCUCUCUCAAUUGAUGUUCAGAUGGCAAACAAAUGCUAAAAUGGCCGUUUCGGGAUCUGUUAAUAGAAUGGUAGCUUGAUAUGUUCCCAAAAUCGGCAAAAAGAUUAGAUUCUAUAUCCAGCAUGAAAUCAGGUGGUGGAAUUUCUUCCUUUUGUGGCUCAGAACUUGAGAUAGCUAAAGUAGAUAACAAAUUUGGCAGAGUGUCUACUUCGGCUUCAUGGGUUUCAUCAUGAAGGGUAUUAUCCAUCUCAGCUUCUAGGAUUCUAUCCAGGAUCACUCUAGCAUCAUUAGUAGGGAUACGAAAGAAAGAACCUCUAGACAUUGUAUGUAGCAUUUGUUUGUGAUCUUUUUGAAGACCUCAAAAAAAGUGAAAUAAAAGAACAGGGUCUUCAAGAUUAAGGUUUGGACCAGAUUCUAAAAGAUCAGAAAAACAUUUCCAGGAUUUUCCCAAAGUUUCAUUAUCUUUUUGUUUAAAAGAUAGAACUUCGAGUCUAAGGUCGCCGAUACGGUCGAGGGAAUAAAAAUCUAGACAAAAGUUGGCUCGUAAAACUCCCCAUUCACCUCGUUGUUGACCUACCUUCUCAUUAUACCAUUGUCUAGCUUCUCCCCUUAAAGAAAAAGGAAAAAGCUUCCAACGUAAAGUUUUAUCAAAAAUGCCUUCAAUGUGAAGACAAUCACAUGUUUGCUGAAAAUCUCUAAUAUGAAGAAGGGUUUUUGUCUUCCUUUCCUGAAAAAGAUAGGUUUUGAAUCAUGGCAAUUAACCUAGAACUUAACCUAUACUGGGAUGUUUGGAUAGGCUGUGAUGACUCCCAUGGUAAAAGGUCAGUCUCCGAAGGUGUUGCAAAUUGAUAGAUUGAUUUAGAAUCUUGGUUUUCCAUAAGGUAAGAACAAAGAAAAUAAAUAAAGAUUAUAAAAGAUAAAAGUAUAGAUACAAGCUAAUAGUAAGACUCAAGGUUAUCUCAGCAAACCGUCUUUCUCCAUGGCAACGGCGCCAGAAAUGCUUGUUGAUAUUUGGGAACGCAAUAAGGAAUUGAUCCGCAAGCGCACAGAUAUCGGUGACCACUUCACUCGGGAUGUUAUCCAGAGUAUCGUAUUUAUAUUUUUACCACUAGGAGAAAGAGUGCAUCUGACUAACCCAGUAUAUUACUACUAACCUUUAAGCCACAAAGAAUGUUUUUCAAUUUGAGUGAUAUAUAGAGAAGACUGCAACUGUAGUCUUGUUCUAACCUUGGUAAGGAUAAUCUACUAUUCUAUUGGGGAGGCUCACGGAAUGUAGACACCACAGAGGAUGUUCAACCCGCACCUAUAAACCCUAUCCAUCCUGCUAACGAGAUAUAGUCUGCAAAGGUAACUCGGAAAUAUCACGUUCCUCGCUACUACCACGGUCCAGCUAGUCAGGGAAUAUCUAUGAGUAUCCUAGCCCAAACACCACAUCUACGCUAGAGAUGAUUACUCUAAACUCUACGCGAAGAAAUUAAAUUAAACUCAUAAACCAAAGAACAAUAAAAUAAGAACUUACUAGUAUUUAGAAGUCAAAUUACUGAAGAAUCCUAGGAGCAAGCUUCGGGUUAGGAGAACUUGAUCCCGCACGUACAACCUCGGAGUAGACACCGACACGCCGGGCUUCCUCCGAUCUACACCUCCACUCUAUCUCGCUCAAUCUAGUAGAACAUAGUGUUGACGGUUCUUAAGUAUUAAUUUUAAUUAUCAAAUAAACAAGAGAAAGGACCAAUAUGCAAACAACACCUAGAAUUAGGGUUUGAUCUAACACACUUCCACGAGUUUUGUUGUUUAUCUGUUUCUGCAGGGGGUUAUCAGGAAAUAAGGAAGAAAGGGCCACAUGUCGGGAUUACAUAGAGGUAUCAACACACCGCGCAAUUUUCUACCAUCUAGAAGACUCCAGAAGCCACAGGAAGGAUGUGGAGGCCGAACGGGGCCAGGCACUGGGCGCCCGCCCAGUUGACCUGGGCGCCCGCCCCCUCCUGGAGUUGGAUCAGGACUCUUUUCGUGGACGAUGUUCCACCGACCUAAAGGAUCAAGGAUAACUGUCUAAUCAAUGUCGGUUUGAUCCAAUGGCUCACAUUCACUUGAGGGGACUAUAAAACCAGACCCCCUGACCCCUGGAGGAGACAAGUUUAUCAUAGAGUUGAGAGGAACCCUCGAAGGAAUACCUCUCCUCUAAAUAAAAUUUCUUUUUAGGCUUAGCAACCAAUGUGAGUAGAAAUAGAUCUUCUAGUUUCUACUAGAUUGAGAGAGAUAGAGUGGAGGUGUAGAUCAGAGGAAGCCCAGCCUGUCGGUGUCUACUCCAAGUUUGUACCUGCGGGAUCAAGUUCUCCUAACACGAAGCUUGCUCCUAGGAUUCUUCAGCAUUUCGACUUCUAAAUUCUAGUAAGUUCUUGUUUUAUUGUUCUUUUGGUUUAUGAGUUUACUUUAAUCUCUUCGCGUAGAGUUUAGAGUAAUCAUCUCUAGCGUAGACGUGGUGUUUAGGCUAGGAUACUCAUAGAUAUUCCCUGACUAGCUGGACCGUGGUAGUAGCGAGGAACGUGACAUUUCCGAGUUACCUUUGUAGACCAUAUCUCGUUAGCAUGAUGGAUAGGGUUUAUAGGUGCGGGUUGAACAUCCUCUGUGGUGUCUAGAUUCCGUUAGGCUCCCCAAUAGAACAGUAGAUCAUCCUUACCAAGGUUAGAAAGAGAUUACGGUUGCAGUUUUCUCUAUUUAUCACUCACAUCGAGAAACAUUCUUUGUUGCCUAAAGGGUUAGUAGUAAUAGACCGUAUUAUUCAGAUGCACUUUUUCUCCUAGUGGUAAAAAAUAAAUACGAUACUUUGGAUAACCUCCUGGGUGAAGUGCUCACCGAUAUCCAUGCGCUUGUGGAUCAAUUCCUUAUUGCGUUCCCAAAUAUCAAUAAGCAUUUCUGGCGCCGUUGCCGGGGAGAAAGACGGUUUGCUGAGAUAACCUUGAGUCUUACUACUAGCUUGUAUCUAUACUUUUAUCUUUUCUUAUCUUUUAUCUAUCUUCUUUACACUUACCUUAUGGAAAACCAAGAUUCUAAAUCAAUCUACCAAUUUGCAACACCUUCGGAAACUAACCUUUUACCAUGGGAGUCAUCAGAGCCUAUCCAAACAUCCAAGUAUAGGUUAAGUUCUAGGUUGAUUGCCAUGAUUCAAAACCUAUCUUUUUUGGGAAAGGAAGACGAAAACCCUUACCUUCAUAUUAGAGAUUUUGAGCAAACAUGUGAUUGUCUUCGCAUUGAAGGCAUUUCUGAUAAGACUUUACGUUGGAAGGUUUUUCCUUUUUCUUUAAGGGGAGAAGCUAGACAAUGGUACAGUCAGAAGGUAAGUUAACAACAAGGUGAAUGGGGAGUUUUACGAGCCAACUUUUGUCUAGACUUUUAUUCCCUCGACCGUAUCGGCGACCUUAGACUCGAAGUCCUAUCUUUUAAACAAAAAGAUAAUGAAACUUUGGGAAAAUCCUAGAAACGUUUUUCUGAUCUUUUAGAAUCUGGUCCAAACCUUAAUCUUGAAGAACCUGUUCUUUUAUUUCACCUUUUUCGUGGUCUUCGGGAAGAUCAUAAACAAAUGCUACAUACAAUGUCUAGAGGUUCUUUCUUUCACAUCCCUACUGAUGAUGCUAGAGUGAUCCUAGAUACAAUCCUAGAAGCUGAGAUGGAUAAUACCUUUCAUGAUGAAACCCACGAAGCCGAAGUAGACACUCUGCCAAAUUCUUCAUCUACUUUAGCUAUCCCAAGUUCUGAGCCACAAAAGGAAGAAAUUCCACCACCGGAUUUCAUGCUGGAUAUAGAAUCUGAUCUUUUUGCCGAUUUUGGAAACAUUUCAAACUACCAUUCUAUUGACAAACCCCAAAACGGCCAGUUUAGCAUUUGUUUACCAAGUGAAUAUCAAUUGAGAGAGCUUAUCUCAGUCAUGAGUAGCGAGUGGUUGGAGGAAUCAAAGCUUUCCUCUGAUGUGAUACGUUUGGACACACCCUCUACAACUAUACGCUGUGCUUAUGAUUCUGAUCGAUUUGAUGCUCUGUAUAAUCCUGUUGUAGGGAUCAACAUUAUGUCUAAAUCUUUUGCACUUAAAUUAUUUAAAAAUCUUGUUUUAACCCCCACAACAAAGGUCAUAAAGGAAUCUUCGGGACGAUUAGUCCCUAGUCUUGGAAUUAUUAAUGUCCUACCUCCUACGGUGGAAGGCUCCAUGGUUCAUUUGAACUUCUAUAUCUUUGAUACAUGGGACUUCAACCUGUUGAUAGGACAACCUUUUAGAAGACUCCUUUAUGAAGGUCAUACUAGAAAGUUACAUAUUUCUUUUGGAAAAACUUUUAAAUUCCCCAUAACAAUUUCACACUCCUUAAAUAAUAAGGCCGAGUCAUAUCUUUUGCCUGAUCCUAUGGAGGAGGUAAAGGCUGCAUCUCUAGAGCUUUUAGAUGAACUAGACUUAGAACAAGAAACUCCUUGCUUCAUAGAAGAAGAAGCUGAACCUUCUGAACCUGAACCCUUAGAUGAGUUUGCAGAAACACCUAGACCUCCCAUAGAGCUAAAAACUUUACCACCCGGUCUUAUCUAUGCUUUCCUAAACAAUAAUCCAGAGUUUCCUAUGAUCAUUAGUAAUAAACUCAAUCAGGAGCAAACUCUGCGAUUAAUGACCAUUCUUGAGAAACAUCACUCAGUUUUCGGCUACUCACUCCAAGAUCUUACAGGAAUCACUCCUAUGAUUUGUACCCAUCGUAUUCCAACAGAUCCUUCUGUUUCACCUUCUCGAGAACCCCAACGUAGACUUAACAACACUGUGAGAGAGGUAGUUAAAAAGGAAGUUAUAAAGUUGCUGCAUGCAGGGAUUAUAUAUCCUGUGCCGCAUAGUGAGUGGGUGAGCCCAGUUCAAGUCGUGCCUAAAAAGGGAGGCAUGAAUGUUAUUUUGAAUGAAAAGAACGAGCUAAUUCUGCAACGCACCGUCACAGGAUGGCGGAUGUGCAUAGACUAUAGAAAACUAAACAAAGCCACAAGAAAGGAUCAUUUUCCUUUACCUUUCAUAGAUGAGAUGCUAGAGUGAUUAGCGAACCAUUCGUUCUUCUGUUUCUUAGAUGGAUAUUCAAGGUAUCAUCAGAUCCCGAUCCAUCCUGAUGAUCAAAGCAAAACCACUUUUACAUGCCCAUAUGGAACUUAUGCUUACCGUAGAAUGUCUUUUGGAUUAUGUAAUGCACCAGCUUCUUUUCAAAGAUGCAUGAUGUCUAUAUUUUCUGAUAUGAUUGAAGAGAUUAUGGAAGUUUUCAUGGAUGAUUUCUCUAUUUAUGGAAAAACUUUUGAAAGUUGUCUUGAAAACUUAGACAAGGUUUUGCAAAGAUGUGAAGAAAAGCACUUAGUCCUUAAUUGGGAAAAUGUCAUUUUAUGGUUAGAGAAGGAAUAGUGUUGGGACACCUAGUAUCUGAAAGAGGUAUUGAGGUAGACAAAGCUAAAAUUGAAGUAAUUGAACAACUACCUCCACUUGUGAAUAUAAAAGGAAUUUGAAGCUUUCUUGGCCAUGCUGGUUUUUACCGUAGAUUCAUAAAAGAUUUUUCAUUCAUUGCUAGACCACUUACUCUUUUGCUAGCCAAGGAUGCUCCUUUCGAAUUUGAUGAUGCAUGUCUAACAUCUUUCAAUUUAUUAAAGAAAGCACUCAUCUCUGCACCAAUCAUUCAACCCCCUAAUUGGUCGUUGCCUUUUGAAAUUAUGUGUGAUGCUAGUGAUUAUGCUGUGGGGGCAGUAUUGGGACAAACUAAAGAUGAGAAACAUCAUGCAAUUGCUUAUGCCAGUAAAACUUUGAUACGAGCUCAACUUAAUUAUGCAACCACUGAAAAAGUGCUUCUGGCUGUUGUCUUUGCCAUUGAUAAAUUUAGAUCUUAUUUAGUUGGAGCUAAAAUAAUUGUUUACACUGAUCAUGCUGCACUAAAAUAUUUGCUCACUAAAAAAGAUGCUAAACCUCGCCUGAUUAGAUGGAUCUUAUUACUUCAAGAAUUUGACUUAGAAAUAAAAGAUAAAAAGGGAAUAGAAAAUUCUGUUGCUGAUCACUUGUCUUGAAUGUAUUUUAAGAGUCCACAGGAAACCCCCAUCAAUGAUUCACUCCGGGACGACAUGCUCUACGGGAUUAACAGGUCUGACCCCUGGUAUAUAGAUAUUAUUAAUUUUAUGGUUUCAGGGUAUGUACCGCCAGGAGCAAACAAGAAGAAGCUUAUUCAUGAAAGUCGUUCACAUAUAUGGGAUGAGCCAUACCUCUUCCGAGUAUGCUCUGAUGGCUUACUCAGGAGAUGUGUGACUGCUGGGUAUUCAUAACAUCAUUACCAAAAGUAGACUUAGUUUUCUAAUUCUAGUAAUGGUGCCAAAAAUGCCAAACCUAUCCCUCAUACCACUUAAGCCAAGUUGUCAUCCCCAGCAUGACAUGAGAGACGCGGUAUUGAAAUAUGCAAUUGCUCUUCUAAAUAAAUAAUGAAUGGGAUCUCCAAGCGCACAGAUUAAUACCGAUGUAGCAUUUUAACCGGGAAGUAUUCCAGAUAUCGUUAUUUAUAUUUCUACCACUGGGAAGGGAUUAGCAAUCAUCAAUGCUGAUUAUUGAAUAGAAUAUGAGAUUGAGUAUCUAUCAUUGCAUGUAUAAUUGAGAACAUUGUAUCUAAUUCUUUCAUAUAGGGAUAAGUGUCACAUAAAAGAUAUAUGAAGUAAUGAAUAGUGACAAAGAUAAUUAAUCUGAUCAACAUAACUUAGCCACAUAAUAAAUAUGAUAAGCACCUCAAUUAGAUACUCUAGAAAGUCAUUAGCAUGGAAUUAGAACGAACUACAAGAAUAUUUCCUAAGUUAUUCUCAACUAUACAGUCUAGCAUUAUCAUAGUUAGUGCAAGCAUACUUAGCAAUCAUUAUGAGACAAGUCUACACCCAUGCAUAGUGAUAUUAGCAAGGUAAAUGAGAAACAUAGCAAUCACUCCCCUGUAAUAAUGUUGCUCUGCCAGCCCAAUACACGAGAGGGGGACUAUAUCAGAAUCAAUGAAGUUGUCACUAUCACGAACUACCCCGCGAUCUAGCAUAUUGGGUACAAUCGCAGAUAAAUACGGUAUAAGCACCAUGCCUACACAAUAUCUAUCAUUUACCCAUGGAUCCGAUGGAUAAACGCUAUACGAUCCUAAACAUGUAUAUAGAUCCAAUCUAACUAAGCCAAGUAUAUAACUAUGAUAAACUAAGAACAAUAUAAUCUUGAAUAUAAACAAGUAGAGCAAAGUCAUAAUCAAUAUAUUGAAGUAGAACAAAGUCAUAUUCUUUAUAUUGAAGAACAAAUAUAAUUAGAAGAACAAUUAGAAGCACAAUUAGAGAAUUACCAAGAAUCCUCUUGACAAAUGCGGAAACCAAUCGAAGAUUGACUCCUUCUAGUUCUAAUCCUAUGUAGCUAUGCUAAUCUAGAUGUCUAAUUGAUGUGGUGGCUCUAGGCUUGAUCAGAGGCUUCCUCUUCCUUGAGGAAUAAUGAAUUAGGGUUGAGAGGCUAUCUCCUCCAGGGGCCAAGGGGUCUGCUUUUAUAGUCCCUUCAAGUGAAUAUGGGCCGUUGGAUCAAACUGACAUUGAUUGAACGGUUAUCCUGGAUCCUUUAGGUCGGUGGAGAUUAGUCCCGAAAGAGAGUCGUGAUCCAACUCAGAGAGGGGGCGGGCGCCCAGGUCAACUGGGCGGGCGCCCAGUGCCUGGCCCCGUUCGGCCUCCGCUUCCUUUCCGUGGCUUCUGGAGUCUUCUAGAUGUAAGAUAAUUGCGCAGCACGUUGAUAUCUCUAUGUAACCCCGAUGUGUGGGCCUUUCUUCCGUAUUUCCUGAUAACCCCCUGCAGAAAUAGACAUACACCAAAACUCGUGGAAUUUUGUCAGAUAAAACCCUAAGUCUAGAUGUUGAUUUCAUUUGGAUCCUUUUCUUUGUUUAUUCGUUAAUUAAAUUUGAUACUUAAGGACCGUCAACAAACUCCCCCAAGCUUACCUCUUGCUAAUUCCUGAGCAAGGAUAGACUUAGUGAUAGAUCAGAAGUUGCUGCAAUAUCUUUAAAAAUUGACGGUGCACAUGAUUUUAAAUAAGAUCUCAUCUCUGAGUUAGAGUAAACUGUCAAAACUUAAAACUUAUUCAUUUUACGUUUCACCAUGGGACUUAUUACCGUCACUUCUAUCUUGAGUAGUUAAAAGAUAGAACAGUCUAGUCAAGUGCUAUGUCUCUUAUUCUUGAUCAGCUAGAGCUCUGGAGUUUUUGCAGAUUUUCAAAUAAAACUCAGAGAUUCCUUGUAUGACUCUCUAAAUCUCUCUUUUGUAGUAUUUCUGGAUCCUUACCAAGGCAGUGAUGGUAUAUGCCUUCUCUCAAGAUAUGUGGUAUGGUAUAAGGCAUAGUGACAUAGCCUUCUCUCUCACCCUACUCUAAUAAGGCUUUUGAUAUCUGGAGCUCAUAGGUGGGAGAUAAAAUGUACAUACUCACAAGACAUGUGUGCAUAGUCAAACCAUGGAUCCAAAGAAACAAGCCAAUAAGUUUAAUCAAGAUGUGCAUGUGUGGCGAAUGAAUGGUGUAUGGUGAUGGUGAUGAUAACAAUGGUGAAAGUCUAAUUCUACUUUUGCUCUUUGAGGGGAUACAUACCUUCUUGCUUUUUGAAACUUUGUGAGGAGAAAGAGAUGCUCUAUCUUUUCUUUUUUUCUCUCCUUGGGUAUCUUGUACCCCUAAUUCUACUGUCGGACACUUGUCCAUUUUUACCUCUCGUCUCACUUGUUCUUUUCUUUCGAGGUUCUAGGCACUUGCCCCUUUUUAUUUCGUUGUAUUCUUUUUCUUUCUCUUUUUUUUAGAGCACUCAUCUCUUGAGAUAAUAUAGCAAGUGGUAGUAACAAGAUAACUUGAGCAGUUAUUUCAUAGGGAAAAACAGAAAUGUUUUUGGUUAUUCUCUCCCGGAUUAGGAGUAGAAUGUUUUUGGGUGGUUCUGGAGAUGGAAAUGGGUGGAUAUAUGUGGAUGGUACUUCCGGAGUAGAAGUAGCAUGUGUGAGCAAGUGGCCAAGCAGAGACUUCCAACAAGCAAAUCAAGAAUAUUCUUUAGAAGACAGUAAAUGAAAUGGGAACGGCAUGGAAAGACAAGUUACCCGAUGCACUCUGGGCAUACGGGACAACAUACAAGACUCCAAUUGGAAUGUCCCCAUACCAAUUGGUGUAUGGGAAGACUUGCCACCUACCUGUUGAACUAGAGUUCAAAGCACACUGGGCCAUAAGGAGAUGGAAUUUGGACCUAGAUGUCGCUGGAAAACAUAGGAGAAUGCAACUAUCAGAAUUGGAAGAAUGGCAAGAGAAAGCAUAUCACAAUUCGAAGAUCUACAAAGAAAGAGUCAAAAGGUGGCAUGACAAGAGGAUCAAGAAGGAGUUCGCACCCGG
rnacentral:lncRNA from 1 species